rnacentral:rRNA from 1 species
UCCACGCCGUAAACGAUGGGCAUUAGGUGUAGGAGGUAUCCAAUCCUUCUGUGCCGAAGUUAACGCAUUAAAUGCCCCGCCUGGGGAGUACGACCGCAAGGUUGAAACUCAAAGGAAUUGACGGGGGCCCGCACAAGCGGUGGAGCAUGUGGUUUAAUUCGAUGCAACGCGAAGAACCUUACCUGGGCUUGACAUGUACUCGAAUGUGCCAGAAAUGGUACAGUCCGAAAGGACGGGUACACAGGUGCUGCAUGGCUGUCGUCAGCUCGUGUCGUGAGAUGUUGGGUUAAGUCCCGCAACGAGCGCAACCCUCAUUCUUAGUUACCAUCAGGUAAUGCUGGGGACUCUAGGAAAAAUGCCCCGGAUAACGGG